UACGAAGGGGGCUAGCGUUGCUCGGAAUUACUGGGCGUAAAGGGCGCGUAGGCGGAUAUCUAAGUUGGGGGUGAAAUCCCGGGGCUCAACCUCGGAAUUGCCUUCAAAACUGGAUAUCUUGAGUUCGGGAGAGGUGAGUGGAACUCCGAGUGUAGAGGUGAAAUUCGUAGAUAUUCGGAAGAACACCAGUGGCGAAGGCGACUCACUGGCCCGAUACUGACGCUGAGGCGCGAAAGCGUGGGGAGCAAACAGGG
rnacentral:rRNA from 1 species